GUCAGUAAAUGACCACAAAGAGACACAAAAUGACCAAAAGCCACCAAACUACAUUGAGACCAAAAUCACCUCAAAAAGUUGCAAAAUAAUCACAGCAAGAAGCAAAGUGACUAUUGAGCCUAUAAAAAGACAAAAGUUCUAAGUUUAUAAAUGAAAAGUAAGACUUUUUUGAAUUCGGUGCUUCUUGUGAAUUGACGCUAUAUAAAUAAAAUUUGACUUGACUUGACUUAAAACUUUUUACUGCAGAUACUCUGAGCACCUACAAAACCUCCCUGUUACAGGACUUAUUUCAGGCUACAUUAACAAGCUGAGUAUAACUCACUACCAUAGGUUAAAAAAGGAUCUUACAAGCAGAUUUUCAUGUGACCCACUCUUGAUCAGCACAUGAUGAAAGACAGCAAAAAAGGGAAAACAUCUAUAAGCCACUGAGCCGUCUGCUGAGCUGAGGCAUCCAGUUAUCAUCAGACAUCAUCAGCAUGUUGUCUGAACAUAACAGGAAGUCCCACAGUUGUGAGUUACAUAAUAAAAAAAAUGUUCUUCCCCUCCUUGAAGUCAACGACAGAUCUGAUAUGACUGGACUGACGAAGGUGCAUCAGAUCAGGGAUUUCUACCGAGGCAUGUUGGUGUCUCUUCAAACACCAGCCACCUUUUCAUGGCUCCCUAGCAGACUCACAGGCGGACGAUAUUGAUGAUGAAGGCCGGGCCGAGCACCAGGGCCAUCAGCCCCGCUCCACUGGUGCUAUGUGCGGCGACGCUGCCGAGCCGAGGCGGCCGCUCGGAGUCGCGGGGAGGCGGGGAAGCAGGAACAGGCGCUUGACCCACCGGUGUAAACAAUCCUCAUUUAUGGCUGCUGUUUCUGCUGCUGCUGUCUGUGCUGCACGGAGGUCCCCGGCGACCUUCUGAGCCAUACACCACCCACAGAAGCCUCCCUCCUCCCCGGUCUGCAAAAACACAAGCCUCCCGGAGAGGCAGCCAGACAGCUGAACACAGAUUUCACAGGAAGUCGGUGCCUGUCUCUCCUCCUCUCAGAUGCAGAAGUGGAGGAGAAGCUGCUUCCUCAGCAUCAACAGCAACCAGCAGCCCUCCUCGCUGCUGCCACCCACUGGAAACAACUGCAUCAUCCAAAAAUAAUAAAACAUGGUGCAUGAAAAAUGAAUAGGCACACAGAUGUAGUGGAAUGUAAAGAGACCACUCUCACAGACUGAUGCGGGUUAUAUGAGGAUUAGAUCUCUUUUAAAGGGGCAUGCCACUGUUUUUCCUCUGUAAAGUACAAUUAUGGCGGCCCUGAGGUGUAAAACACAAUGAUACAGGACCAAAUAAAGGAUCAGUGUGUAA